rnacentral:rRNA from 1 species
UGGGGGAUAUUGCACAAUGGGCGAAAGCCUGAUGCAGCGACGCCGCGUGGGGGAUGAAGGCCUUCGGGUUGUAAACUUCUUUUGCCCUGAACAAGGCGCACCAUGGGGUGAGUUGAGUGUAGGGGUUGAUUAGCGCCGGCUAACUACGUGCCAGCAGCCGCGGUAAUACGUAGGGCGCGAGCGUUGUCCGGAAUUAUUGGGCGUAAAGGGCUUGUAGGUGGCUGGUUGCGUCUGUCGUGAAAGCUCAUGGCUUAACUGUGGGUUUGCGGUGGGUACGAGCUGUCUUAAGUGCAGUAGGGGAGGCUGGAAUUCCUGAUGUAGCGUUGGAAUGCGCAGAUAACAGGAGGAAUACCGAUGGCGAAGGCGGGUCUCUGGGCUGUUACUGACACUGAGGAGCGAAAGCAUGGGGGGCGAACAGG